rnacentral:rRNA from 1 species
GACGAACCGUGCGAACGUUAUUCGGAAUCACUGGGCUUAAAGGGCGCGUAGGCGGGCCGACGAGCCAGGGGUGAAAUCCUCCAGCCCAACUGGAGAACAGCCCCUGGGACCGGCGGCCUCGAGGGGUGCAGGGGCAUGCGGAACUCAGGGUGGAGCGGUGAAAUGCGUAGAGAUCCUGAGGAACACCGGUGGCGAAAGCAGCUUACUAAAGAGUAACUGACGCUGAGGCACGAAAGUGUGGGGAUCAAACAGG